ACGUCGCUCUGAAUAAACGAAUACGUUUCGUUGUCGUAAUUCUUUAAAUUAUUAACGAGAAUAUUUUUUCUUGUUAAAAUUGUAUUAAAUGCGAACGUAGAAAAGGGAUUUUGAGCAACGGCAACAGCAACGGCAACAGCAACGGCAACGGCAACGGCAAUAGUAACGACAGUAAGCAACACUAGAAACUCCUUGAGACGUGCGAUACCUUCUCCCGUCUCUUCGAGAGACAUCAUGCUUACAUGUGUGUAUGUUUGCUCGUGCCAUAAGCAAGUGGUACGGUAAAUGUGUACGAGGGAUGUGAAGAAAAACGAAGGGAGGGAGAAAGGUAAAAUAUAUCAUAGAUCACAGAGAUGCAAAAAGGGACGAUCCUAAUUUGGCCAUAUAUUCUCGAAGAUUUUUAUCCAAGUAUUGGUAUAAAUAAUAUUUAAAA